rnacentral:lncRNA from 1 species
GUGGUGGGGAUCCACCUUGUGGUGGGGAUUCACUUUGAGGUGGGGAUCCACUUUGUGGUGGGGAUUCACUUUGAGGUGGGGAUCCUCCUUGUGGUGGGUAUUCAUUUUGAGGUGAGGAUCCACCUUGUGGUGGGGAUCCUUUUUGUGGUGGAUAUUCACUUUGAGGUGAGGAUCCAUCUUGUGGUGGGGAUUCACCUUGAGGUGGGGAUCCACCUUGUGGUGAGGAUUCACUUUGAGGUGAGGAUCCACCUUGUGGUGGGGAUUCACUUUGAGGUGGGGAUUCAUUUUGAGGUGGGGAUCUACCUUUAGGUGAGGUUUCCUUAUCAUCAUCAUCAUCAUCAUCAUCAUCAUCAUCAUCAUCAUCAUCAUUAUCAGUUCUUUUUCGAACGCUAGAAUUAACAUCGACAUCAAGACCGUAAGAUGAUUCGUCAAUCGACUUUCCUGCCUGCUCAGCAACACUCUUUACAAUUGUAAUAACAAGUCGAGUCCAUUUCACCAUAGCCACAACCAAUUCUUUCCUUUGCUUCAAUGACAUUAUUUUUGAACCUUGUCUCUUCUGCUCAACCAAAGUCUUUCCCAUUGACAGCAUCGUAGAUUUUAAUUCCGACUAUUGCAAAACCAAGAAAAAUAAAUUGUAAGAAGAAAGUGUUAGAGAAAAAUUCUCUUGUUCUUGAUGUAUUCCACAAUAUAUUUAAACUGUUAGAAGUCUUAUACAUCAUAUGAUUUUUUAUGGUAUAAAACUUACUGUUUGGCUGCUUUUACUACCAGUCAGUACAGACAAAGCCUUGGUAAGUAAUUCACAUCUCCCAUCCAUCUCCGUAUCAACGUUUUUGGAUGAGGAUGAUACUGAGCUAAUGAAGCUAAUAUAAGACUUGAAUCUUGUAAAGAACUCUUUGAACUCUCUUGUUGCAGGACAUCCACCUUGGAGGUUCUUGAUGAGCAUCAACAUACCCUUGGCAGCAAAAGGGGUAAAGUCGAUACAACGUCUGGGAAAAAACUUCCUCCUCAAGU